AUGCACGCUGGCGGCGUGCCUCAUACAUGCAAGUCGCGCGAACGGACGAGAAGCUUGCUUCUCUGAUGUUAGCGGCGGACGGGUGAGUAACACGUGGAUAACCUACCUAUAAGACUGGGAUAACUUCGGGAAACCGGAGCUAAUACCGGAUAAUAUUUUGAACCGCAUGGUUCAAAAGUGAAAGACGGUCUUGCUGUCACUUAUAGAUGGAUCCGCGCUGCAUUAGCUAGUUGGUAAGGUAACGGCUUACCAAGGCAACGAUGCAUAGCCGACCUGAGAGGGUGAUCGGCCACACUGGAACUGAGACACGGUCCAGACUCCUACGGGAGGCAGCAGUAGGGAAUCUUCCGCAAUGGGUGAAAGCCUGACGGAGCAACGCCGCGUGAGUGAUGAAGGUCUUCGGAUCGUAAAACUCUGUUAUUAGGGAAGAACAUAUGUGUAAGUAACUGUGCACAUCUUGACGGUACCUAAUCAGAAAGCCACGGCUAACUACGUG
rnacentral:rRNA from 1 species